UACGUAGGUGGCAAGCGUUGUCCGGAUUUACUGGGUGUAAAGGGCGUGUAGCCGGGCUGACAAGUCAGAUGUGAAAUUCCGGGGCUCAACCCCGGACCUGCAUUUGAAACUGUUGGUCUUGAGUAUCGGAGAGGCAGGCGGAAUUCCUAGUGUAGCGGUGAAAUGCGUAGAUAUUAGGAGGAACACCAGUGGCGAAGGCGGCCUGCUGGACGACAACUGACGGUGAGGCGCGAAAGCGUGGGUAGCAAACAGG
rnacentral:rRNA from 1 species